UCUCUCUCCCCCUCUCCCUCCUUUGUAUGAAGAUAGCCUCUCUAGUGGUGUUAGAUAACAAGAAAAAGACACACACACACACACACACACACACACACCAAUGUGUCACACCUGUGCUAGCGCAGCCGAGGUACUAAUGCAUCGGAGGCGACGGCAGUUGGCUACCGUGACGGCGUCGGACCAGCAGCCAUUAGUCAGAGCCCCUGAGAGGCAAGGUGCUGAUUAGCUCCCCCCUCCUCCCCCCUCCCUCCUGGCGUCUCUCUCCUUCGCUUUAAUGCCACCGACGGCACAGGUGCUGGUCCCCCUCCUUUGAGUCUGCAACGUGACAUUAUGGGGGCCACACACACACACACACACACACACACACACACACACACACACACACACACACACACACACACACCUUUGUCAGUUUCUAGGGCCACGGACGUGUGCCGUGAAAGCACUUAGACAUCCUGUUCUCUACCCCCCCCCCUCCUCCUCCUCCUCCGUCCCUGAAGGCUGAUUGUAUUUCCCACCUUGGUCUUAGUGUGACGGUGAUAUUGCAGCGGGUGGAGGUAGAUGUGGUGUAUGACCGCGUUGGGGUUGGCUGUCGUCACGAGUGAGGGAGGAAGGGACAGCACCCAGAGCCUACGCCCUAUCGUAGCAGCACCCAGAGCCUACGCCCUAUCGUAGCAGCACCCCGCGUCUCAGACGACAUAACUCUUAAGGCGGCGGAGUUAGGACGGAAGGGAGGCGGAGCUGACGGGGGGGAGCGACACAGCAGGUCAGGUGACCCAGCAGGUCAGGUGACCCAGCAGGCCAGGUGACCCGACAGGUCAGGUGACCCAGCAGGUCAGGUGACCAUGCCUACCGAGCGCACCGAGCCACGAUGGAAACAGAACGAAGAAGAACAUAGAUGGGGGGGUUGGGUUUGAGAAAGAGGGACAGCCAGGACUCUGAGAGCACUCUCCACAGAAACAAGUAGUCGUACUUGAUAAAGAAACGAUUUCAAUACAGCGAGGGGCCAUCAAGACGUCAGUAGAUCAAAGACGAAGGCUAAAAACAGGCACUGACACGCGGCAUGCGAUGCGAUAACAACAGGGUUGAUUAAGAUGAAGCGGGAGGGGGGGAGGGGGGGUUAAGACAGCUAGACGGACAGGGACCGAGACGGACGGGGAGGGCAGUGCAAUGUGGACGGGAGGGAGGUUUGAAUCAAUACGAGGACGCAUCACGAUAGGUCACGCAGGCGCCGUCGGCAAAGGCCGGUUAACCCCCGCGGACCACCCCCCUCCCCACCGCCGCCUCGCAAAUGUCAACUCACCGAGGACAGGACGCCAGAUACAAACUCUCCAUUCUUUAUCCCCCCUACCCCCUACACACACAUAAACGCACACACACACAUCCUCACACACAGCGGGUUAUGCCUAUGGCUAUGAAUCAGGCCAUGAAUGAAGUUGCACUGUUGUUGACAGCGGCUAUCAAUCUGGGGGUCCGACGAUGGAACAGAACAUUGUUUUUAGGGACAGAGAUGGGUAUGUGGGCUUGGACCAGCUGGGGAGGUCGAGUUAUACAUGGAAUGUGCCCGGAUGUCCCCC
ensembl:lncRNA